GCUGGAGUGAUGGAAUGGCAGACAUGCAGCACUCAAAAUGCUGUGACCGCAAGGUCGUGUGGGUUCAAGUCCCACCUCCAGCA
rfam:Parcubacteria bacterium GW2011_GWA2_45_15 TW97_C0019, whole genome shotgun sequence.